rnacentral:rRNA from 1 species
GAUGAACGCUGGCGGCGUGCCUAAUACAUGCAAGUCGAGCGAACGGACGAGAAGCUUGCUUCUCUGAUGUUAGCGGCGGACAGGUGAGUAACACGUGGAUAACCUACCUAUAAGACUGGGAUAACUUCGGGAAACCGGAGCUAAUACCGGAUGAUAUUUUGAACCGCAUGGUUCAAAAGUGAAAGACGGUCUUGCUGUCACUUAUAGAUGGAUCCGCGCUGCAUUAGCUAGUUGGUAAGGUAACGGCUUACCAAGGCAACGAUGCAUAGCCGACCUGAGAGGGUGAUCGGCCACACUGGAACUGAGACACGGUCCAGACUCCUACGGGAGGCAGCAGUAGGGAAUCUUCCGCAAUGGGCGAAAGCCUGACGGAGCAACGCCGCGUGAGUGAUGAAGGUCUUCGGAUCGUAAAACUCUGUUAUUAGGGAAGAACAUAUGUGUGAGUAACUGUGCACAUCUUGACGGUACCUAAUCAGAAAGCCACGGCUAACUACGUG